UACGUAGGGUGCAAGCGUUGUCCGGAAUUAUUGGGCGUAAAGAGUUCGUAGGCGGUUUGUCGCGUCUGCCGUGAAAGUCCGGGGCUCAACUCCGGAUCUGCGGUGGGUACGGGCAGACUAGAGUGAUGUAGGGGAGACUGGAAUUCCUGGUGUAGCGGUGAAAUGCGCAGAUAUCGGGAGGAACACCAGUGGCGAAGGCGGGCACCUGGGCUAACACUGACGCUGAUGCGCGAAAGCUAGGGGAGCAAACAGGG
rnacentral:rRNA from 1 species